rnacentral:lncRNA from 1 species
AUGAAUGUCACUUACAAACCAACAAGCUGUGGAAAAAAACAAGGAAAGACGUUACCGGAUCGGAAGGAGACGAUGGCGGCACAGCGGAAGGGCUUGCGAGAUUGCUGCAGUUCCGUUGGUGGUCUUGGGGGUGGCGGUUGCGCUGAGAACUGCGGUCAAAUAGAAAAUUGGAACAACGCUGAGGUUGGAGAAAAGAUGGGAUGGUGGGCGAAAAGCUGGUGCGGUGGUUUACAGUUUAACAGUGGUGGAAGAUUGAUGUUUGUGCAGAUUUUUUUUGUAACUACUGCUAUUGCUGAAGGUAUUUGA